rnacentral:rRNA from 1 species
AAUGAACGCUGGCGGCAGGCCUAACACAUGCAAGUCGAGCGGAGCGGCGGACGGGUGAGUACUGCCUAGGAAUCUGCCUGGUAGUGGGGGAUAACGUCCGGAAACGGGCGCUAAUACCGCAUACUAUCAGAUGAGCCUAGGUCGGAUUAGCUAGUUGGUGGGGUAAUGGCCCACCAAGGCGACGAUCCGUAACUGGUCUGAGAGGAUGAUAAGUCACACUGGAACUGAGACACGGUCCAGACUCCUACGGGAGGCAGCAGUGGGGAAUAUUGGACAAUGGGCGAAAGACUGAUCCAGCCAGGCCGCGUGUGUGAAGAAGGUAUUCGGAUUGUAAAGCACUUUGAGUUGUGAGGCGUUACCAACAGAAUAAGCACCGGCUAACUUCGUGCCAGCAGCCGCGGUAAUAA